rnacentral:rRNA from 1 species
UCGGGAAUUUUGGGCAAUGGGGGCAACCCUGAUCCAGCCAUUCCGCGUGAGUGAAGAAGGCCUUCGGGUUGUAAAGCUCUUUCAGCAGGAACGAAACGGUCGGCUUUAAUAAAGUCGGCUAAUGACGGUACCUGCAGAAGAAGCACCGGCUAACUACGUGCCAGCAGCCGCGGUAAUACGUAGGGUGCGAGCGUUAAUCGGAAUUACUGGGCGUAAAGCGUGCGCAGGCGGCGACAUAAGACAGAUGUGAAAUCCCCGGGCUCAACCUGGGAACUGCGUUUGUGACUGUGUUGCUAGAGUGUAGCAGAGGGGGGUGGAAUUCCACGUGUAGCAGUGAAAUGCGUAGAGAUGUGGAGGAACACCGAUGGCGAAGGCAGCCCCCUGGGUUAACACUGACGCUCAUGCACGAAAGCGUGGGGAGCAAACAGGAUUAGAUACCCUAGUAGUCCCUGAGCGGGCUGGCAAGGCGCAU